GUCUAUCGCCAUGCCACCCUGAACAAGGCUGAUCCUGGAAGCUAAACAGGGUCGGGUCAGUUUAGUACUUGGAUAGGAGACCACCUAGGAAGACCAGGUGCUGCAGGCG
rnacentral:rRNA from 1 species